UACGUAGGGGGCAAGCGUUGUCCGGAAUCAUUGGGCGUAAAGAGCGUGUAGGCGGCUCGAUAAGUCUGCUGUGAAAGUCCAGGGCUCAACCCUGGAAGGCCGGUGGAAACUGUCGGGCUAGAGUCCGGAAGAGGCGAGUGGAAUUCCCGGUGUAGCGGUGAAAUGCGCAGAUAUCGGGAGGAACACCAAUGGCGAAGGCAGCUCGCUGGGACGGUACUGACGCUG
rnacentral:rRNA from 1 species